CGGAGGGUGCAAGCGUUAAUCGGAAUUACUGGGCGUAAAGCGCACGCAGGCGGUCUGUCAAGUCGGAUGUGAAAUCCCCGGGCUCAACCUGGGAACUGCAUUCGAAACUGGCAGGCUUGAGUCUUGUAGAGGGGGGUAGAAUUCCAGGUGUAGCGGUGAAAUGCGUAGAGAUCUGGAGGAAUACCGGUGGCGAAGGCGGCCCCCUGGACAAAGACUGACGCUCAGGUGCGAAAGCGUGGGGAGCAAACAGGAUUAGAUACCCUGGUAGUCCACGCCGUAAACGAUGUCUACUUGGAGGUUGUGCCCUUGAGGCGUGGCUUCCGGAGCUAACGCGUUAAGUAGACCGCCUGGGGAGUACGGCCGCAAGGUUAAAACUCAAAUGAAUUGACGGGGGCCCGCACAAGCGGUGGAGCAUGUGGUUUAAUUCGAUGCAACGCGAAGAACCUUAC
rnacentral:rRNA from 1 species